AUUUCCCUAGUAACGGCGAGUGAAGAGGAAAGAGCUCAAANNNGGAAACUGUUUGGCUUAGCUAAACCGUAUUGUAAACUGUAGAAACAUUUUCCUGGCACGCCGGAUUAAUAAGUCCUUUGGAACAAGGCAUCAUGGAGGGUGAGAAUCCCGUCUUUGAUCCGAGUAGUUGUCUUUUGUGAUAUGUUUUCAAAGAGUCAGGUUGUUUGGGAAUGCAGCCUAAAUUGGGUGGUAAAUCUCACCUAAAGCUAAAUAUUUGCGAGAGACCGAUAGCGAACAAGUACCGUGAGGGAAAGAUGAAAAGAACUUUGAAAAGAGAGUUAAACAGUAUGUGAAAUUGUUAAAAGGGAACCGUUUGGAGCCAGACUGGUUUGACUGUAAUCAACCUAGAAUUCGUUCUGGGUGCACUUGCAGUCUAUACCUGCCAACAACAGUUUGAUUUGGAGGAAAAAAUUAGUAGGAAUGUAGCCUCUCGAGGUGUUAUAGCCUACUAUCAUACUCUGGAUUGGACUGAGGAACGCAGCGAAUGCCNUUAGGCGAGAUUGCUGGGUGCUUUCGCUAAUAAAUGUUAGAAUUUCUGCUUCGGGUGGUGCUAAUGUUUAAAGGAGGAACACAUCUAGUAUAUUUUUUAUUCGCUUAGGUUGUUGGCUUAAUGACUCUAAAUGACCCGUCUUGAAACACGGACCAAGGAGUCCACCAUAAGUGCAAGUAUUUGAGUGACAAACUCAUAUGCGUAAGGAAACUGAUUGAUACGAAAUCUUUUGAUGGCAGUAUCACCCGGCGUUGACGUUUUAUACUGAACUGACCGAGGUAAAGCACUUAUGAUGGGACCCGAAAGAUGGUGAACUAUGCCUGAAUAGGGUGAAGCCAGAGGAAACUCUGGUGGAGGCUCGUAGCGAUUCUGACGUGCAAAUCGAUCGUCAAAUUUGGGUAUAGGGGCGAAAGACUAAUCGANCCAUCUAGU
rnacentral:rRNA from 1 species